UCGGGCACGGGAGGCGAUGGCAGCGCCGCCCAGGCACCUGGGGCCGGCCGGGGAGCGCGGGCGGGAGCCUCCCUCGCCGUGCUGCACAAUGCAGGAGGACGGGGAGUAACCUCCAGCGAACGCCGGCCGGGACCGUCCUCGCCCCCGUUCCUGGCCGCUCGCAGGCUGCAGCGGGGAGGUAGAGCUCCUGCCGAUGAACUGCAUCCCAGGUGUAGCCUCUGCAGGUUUGAUAGGCACGCACCCAGACACGUCUCAGCUGACUGGUUUGCUGAGUAAUACCGGAGUGCUACAAAUAACAAGCAGCCUGCGCAGGAGAGCUAUUGCGGAAAAUUCAUCUCCUGUCUCUUACAAGAGGAGAAUGUAUUUCCUGUCGGCUCCAGGCUUGAAGGGAAAGCGAGAAGUGCCGGGAGGAAGUGGCUGUUCCUGGGCCGAGCGGCGGGAGGAUUGAUGAUUUUCAGGGGGGCAAGCAGGAGGAUUAUUUUCUUCAGAUCCCAUGGAGA